rnacentral:rRNA from 1 species
GAUGAACGCUAGCUACAGGCUUAACACAUGCAAGUCGAGGGGAAACGACAUCGAAAGCUUGCUUUUGAUGGGCGUCGACCGGCGCACGGGUGAGUAACGCGUAUCCAACCUGCCCAUCACUUGGGAAUAACCUUGCGAAAGUAAGACUAAUACCCAAUGACAUCCCACGAAGACAUCUGAAUGGGAUUAAAGAUUUAUCGGUGAUGGAUGGGGAUGCGUCUGAUUAGCUUGUUGGCGGGGUAACGGCCCACCAAGGCAACGAUCAGUAGGGGUUCUGAGAGGAAGGCCCCCCACAUUGGAACUGAGACACGGUCCAAACUCCUACGGGAGGCAGCAGUGAGGAAUAUUGGUCAAUGGGCGAGAGCCUGAACCAGCCAAGUAGCGUGCAGGAUGACGGCCCUAUGGGUUGUAAACUGCUUUUAUAAGGGAAUAAAGUGGGUCUCGUGAGACUUUUUGCAUGUACCUUAUGAAUAAGGACCGGCUAAUUCCGUG